AAACUAGAGGCAGCCAAGGAGGAUGCUGUUGCAAGAGAUUCCAGGAAAAGAUAAUGAUAAUGUGGACUUGGAAGAUGGCAGAGGAGUUGCAGAAAAGUGACCAGAUUUUAGAGAUGUCCAGCUCCAACCUGGUUUCAUAGACAUGGUAAUACUGGAACAACCUCUUCUCCAAGAUUCUCAGGCAGUCAGAGGCCCUGAGAAGAGAGGAUCAGAAUAAAGAUUGAUUUCCUCAUUGAUGUGAAUUUUGUCACAACCACCAUCUUUGGAAUUCAGAUGUUACUAUGAAGUAUUAAGAUCUUCCUCUUUAGUUUUCUGAAACUUUACAUGAACUGUCAAGGUGUACAAAAGAAAGCAGAGUCUGUAUGAUUACAUAAGAAAACAAAACCUUGCCUUGCUUUCACUGAAGGAUUUCUAGAACUGUGUAUCUGUACUCCUGCUCUAUUUUAAAACUCAGAAGCAAUGCUUGUAGAUGCAACAGCCACCUUCUUAUCAAAGAGCUGAAAGUUCCACAUUGAAGACAGCAGAGCAGGAAGAUAAAAGCAUGCUGAUUCCUUGAGCAGCUGUUAAUUCUCUUUUUAUAAGUGAGGAAACUGAGGAUCAGGGACAUUGAUUAUCCCUGGUCAGUUACUGCUUAAACCGCAGAGCUGGGGUUCAAAUCCAUGUUUAUAUUACCUCAAAGUUAUUUAUUUUUUUACUAUAUUUCAAAGUUUCCUAAAAGGAUGAACAUAUUUAGAACCCUUUCUCCCCACAUCUACAGAUUGUGAUGGCAAAGCAACCUGUGAUGGACAAAACAAAGUAUCCAAUAUCUUUGACUCAGAACUACAAAUAUUUCUUACAUGUUCUCUUUAUUAAAUACUAACAACUCCAGCCUGAUUAACAAAAUGACCACGCAGUUCUCUGGCAUUCAUCUUCUAUUCAUGCCAGUAAAAAAAGGCUUCAGUGAUAAGCAACUCGUGAUGAGUGUCAGCAACAAGUAGUUGCCACCCAAAGAACACACACAAGAAAAUGGCCUAACAGAGAGGUCACAAACAAAGGGAUAAUAAAUGUGGAUUGGUUACCAUGUAUGUUUACUAACUUGCUUGAGCUCAUAUAAAUAUCACUAAUAAUUAAGGUUUCUUGCUGCUCUUUUAAAACUCUGGAGCUGAAUUCUUAGGUGGCAACAAAUAACCGGAGCUGCUCCCUCCCAGUACACCAUCCCAUUCUACGCUCCUUCUCUGACUCUAAGCUAGAAUAUUUGUUUCCAUCUAUCAUCAUGUUUGUUCUAUUGUUUUUCUUGUAAUAGAAAAAUAUUGUAUCUCUAUCAAAUAUUUGAUAUUUACCUAAAAUAAAAAUAGAUGGCUAGAGCUGCCUGUUUCUUAUACCUGGCCCACUAAGGCAUUUCAGCUACCUGCCAGAAGGCAUAGAAUUUGAACAGACACUCAGAUGUUUGCUUCCGAAAUCUGUUUCCAGCUCAUUCGCAGACUCCCAUUUCACAUACCUUACUUCAGCAAGCCUCCACAGCAACUACUGAAGUGAACAUUAUUAUUCUCAUUGGGAUCCAAGAGGUUAGCUGAUUUUUCUGAGAUCUUGUUCUUGUGUAAUAGCUGUGUUGUUAGAAUUGUGAUUGCUGUUUUGUUGAUUUACAAAACUGUUAUCUCUGAAUAUCUGUUUUGGGAAAACAGAAAUGAGUAGGAUAGGUAGACUAAUGGACCUUUGUCUUACCUAACUUGGGACCUAACAUUAUCACUUCUUCAUUACCUUUUUCCUUUCUUAUAAGUUAGCUAACAUUAUUGUACACUAUGUACCAGGCACUGUAUUAAUUGCUUUACAUGCAUUGAUUAAUUUAAUCAUAAUAACACUCUGAAAUAUGUUGAAGGAUAAGUUUUGUAAGAGGAAUCAUGAUUCACACACAAAUAUAAAAUAAGCAUGUGUCUAUGAUUUUAUGUCAAUGACUAAAUCAGUAAGAUAUUAAAAUGAGGAUCCAAAGAGCAGACAAAGUAACCCAUCAGGAAUGCUAAAAUGAAUUUACUUUAUAGGUACAAAACUGAUAGACAGCCACAGGACAAUCAUCAAUGGCAUACCACUAGUUCUUUGUGGGUUUUUAAAUUUUGUUUUGUUUUAGAGAUAAGGUCUCUCCCUGUUGCCCAGGCUGGUCUCUAACACCUGGAUUUAAGGAAUCCACCCACCUAAGCCUCCUGAGUAGCUGGGAUUACAGGGUCGGGCCCCCACAAUUUGCAUUCCUUUGAAUAAGAAUUAUUUGUAUUACUCUGUUUUUUUGCAAUUUAUAGAGUCAUAAAGUACCUCAAAGACAAUGAAAUGCAGAGAAAAUCCAGAAGUAUAAGCUAGAUAGGACAUCCAGUAAUCUUUUUUUCUUCUCUUUUCAAAGUAUCUCACAAAUUUUCCUGAGUACUUUUAUUGUUAUUCCCCUUUUACAAGUGAGGAAAUUAUUAAGUAAAUUUUCCAAGGUCCCAUAACCAGUAAGUGGUAGAAACAUAUGUGAACACAAGUCUAACUGAAUCUGGAAAAAUAAUUCAGUUUAUUGAAUCAGUUUUCCUCUUGGAGGCGGAGCUUGCAGUGAGCCGAGAUCGUGCCACUGCACUCCAGCCUGGGUGACAGAGCAAGACUUCCGUCUCAAAAAAAAAAAAAAAAAA
ensembl:lncRNA